rnacentral:rRNA from 1 species
UACGAAGGGUGCAAACGUUGCUCGGAAUUAUUGGGCGUAAAGCGCACGUAGGCGGCUUUGCAAGUCGGAUGUGAAAUCCCUCGGCUUAACCAAGGAAGUGCAUCCGAAACUGCAGAGCUUGAGUACUUAAGAGGAUCGCGGAAUUCCCGGUGUAGAGGUGAAAUUCGUAGAUAUCGGGAGGAACACCAGUGGCGAAGGCGGCGAUCUGGGAAGAUACUGACGCUGAGGUGCGAAAGCCAGGGGAGCAAACGGG